rnacentral:rRNA from 1 species
CCUUGUACACACCGCCCGUCACACCACGAAAGUCGGUAACACCCGAAGCCAGUGGCCCAACCCCUUGUGGGAGGGAGCUGUCGAAGGUGGGAUCAGCGAUUGGGGUG